UAACACAUGCAAGUCGAGCGAAGCACUUUUGCUUUGAUUCCUUUCGGGAGGACGAGUGAUUUGACUGAGCGGGCGGACGGGUGAGUAACGCGUGGGCAACCUGCCUCACACAGGGGGAUAACAGUUAGAAAUGACUGCUAAUACCGCAUAAGGCCACAGCACCGCAUGGUGCAGGGGUAAAAACUCCGGUGGUGUGAGAUGGGCCCGCGUCUGAUUAGGUAGUUGGUGAGGUAACGGCUCACCAAGCCGACGAUCAGUAGCCGACCUGAGAGGGUGACCGGCCACAUUGGGACUGAGACACGGCCCAAACUCCUACGGGAGGCAGCAGUGGGGAAUAUUGCACAAUGGGGGAAACCCUGAUGCAGCGACGCCGCGUGAGCGAUGAAGUAUUUCGGUAUGUAAAGCUCUAUCAGCAGGGAAGAAAACUGACGGUACCUGACUAAGAAGCACCGGCUAAAUACGUGCC
rnacentral:rRNA from 1 species